rnacentral:lncRNA from 1 species
AUAAUUUUUGCUUUCCUAGAGGUAAAAUUGCAGUACAGAGGAUUUUUUGCAUAUUGAAGGAUAGAAAAGGAAAGGGAUCUUAGAAGAUUAUUAUGACUAGGUGUGAGAAAUAAAAAGAUAUGCACCACCAUCAAAACCUCCAGAUUCACGGCCUAAUCCAGUCUUUUUCUUCUUCGAUGAAGUUUUUGAAUAAUUUCAGCAAGGUUUAUG